GAAAAUCAAUCUGACAUCUGACGGACGAUGGGAUGGAUGUGGUGGUGAAGGUUUUGAGAUCUUGAAAAUAAGUUUUCCUGGCAUCUCUCAGACUCAAGCGAAUACAGUGAGAGGAGUUUGAAAAGAUGGAUUAUGACCAUGAGGAUGAACAUGGUGGCCGGUUACCAGCUGGAUCAAAAUCCAGCUUUCGUGAUGAUGAGCUGCAAAACAGUUCAGUUCUUAGUACAUCAGCUUUUCAACGCACUGAGUCAUCUGAUGUAAAAGACCUGGAAUCUACUAGAACAUGUCUUAAGGAUAGUGAACUAUCACCGACUGAUGAACUUUCUGUGAAGGAAAACUCAUGUCUUAUUUCUCCUCCGAGCAAAUCAAAACCGUUAGCAUUUGAUGUGCAUAUCAAAGAAGUAAAAGCAGACGUGAAAAAGCCAUUUCAGAAUGUCCUAAACCCUCCUGGCAGUGACAUCAGCGAUGCUUUUCCUGUCUGCGUUCAACUACCCACAAACCAUCUUAAAAAGUCACAUAUCACUGAUUAUAAAGCAACACACCGCCAUCGCAAAAUCAGCCGGUCCUCCACCUCCACAUUGAGUCGUUUGAGCCUGAAAGCUCCUGUUGAAGAUUUGUGUGCAUCCUUUCUGUUGGCGUGUUUGUUCUGCAAGUUUUGGGAUUGCGUGCUGGCCGUUGGUGAUGGAUGUCAGUACUGCGUGGCCUCUAUCUGUUCAUCCUUCUGCUCUAACGCAUGCUGUUGUGACCCUUCCUCUCUGGAGGACUAUAUAGAUUUUUGCCCAUGUUGCAGCUGCACUGAAUACAUGGAGGCUUGCGGCUGUAGUUGUGGAGAAAACACCUUUGACUGCUCUAUUUGCGAUCUCUGUCAACAGACAACUGAGUGUCUGGAACUAGGCAUGGAACUCUCUCAGCUUCUGUUUCACUAGCUGCUCAUGACAUCUCACACUCAUUUAUAUACUGAUCAUGACAAUCACAUAAAGCUGGAAUGGAAUGUAGCAAAUGUAAUGUGCUGAUUUCGCAAGCAUGUAAAUCUGCUGGUUGAUCGUGGCUGUGAUACUGCAAGGCUGCAUUUGAUACUGCAUUCGAGGGAAAAAAACAUAUGCCAUUUACGUCACCUGAACCAGAA
rnacentral:lncRNA from 1 species